UUGGGAGAUUUACUAUUUCUGGUUCAACUGCCAAUUAAUUUACAAGUCAUUAAUGACUUGUUAUUCAUGUUCUUGAGGGUCAGGAGAAGCAGUAACAUAGGAUACCUGGAGGGAUAGAAGCUAAUUAGUAAACAAAUGCAGGAGAGUUUGAACAAAAUCUAUCUUGCUAGAAAGCUGACAAGAAAAAGCAUGAACUCCAAAACUUUCGUGUUGUAGGUGUGCUGAAAAACAUCAUUGGAACACUAAAAAGUAUUGGUCGACAGAAAAUCCAAAUUAACACAAAUAUUAAUUUUCAGGGAGUAAAAUCUUUGCCUCUACGUUAGUUAGAGGUUCAAUAUGGAUAUAUGUAUAUAAUUUUGAGGUGCUAGAUUAAUUUUAUACUCAAAUUGUAUCUCCUUUCUGUUGGAUAUGUAACAAUUGUGACAAGUACUUGAAUCUUAUUUUUUUAUGAUUUGAAUCCUAUUUUUAAAAUUUAACCACAAGUAUCUCUAAAACCAUAUUGAAAGGGGGAAAAAACGAAGCCACGAAAUGUAAGGGCAGUUAAUUGGAGGAAUGCUGGGAGAUGG